AUUGAACGCUGGCGGCAUGCCUUACACAUGCAAGUCGAACGGCAGCGGGGGAGAAGCUUGCUUUUCCUGCCGGCGAGUGGCGAACGGGUGAGUAAUACAUCGGAACGUGCCCUGUAGUGGGGGAUAACUAGUCGAAAGAUUAGCUAAUACCGCAUACGACCUGAGGGUGAAAGUGGGGGACCGCAAGGCCUCAUGCUAUAGGAGCGGCCGAUGUCUGAUUAGCUAGUUGGUGGGGUAAAGUCCUACCAAGGCGACGAUCAGUAGCUGGUCUGAGAGGACGAUCAGCCACACUGGGACUGAGACACGGCCCAGACUCCUACGGGAGGCAGCAAUGAGGAAUUUUGGACAAUGGGCGAAAGCCUGAUCCAGCAAUGCCGCGUGUGUGAAGAAGGCCUUCGGGUUGUAAAGCACUUUUGUCCGGAAAGAAAUGGCUCUGGUUAAUACCUGGGGUCGAUGGCGGUACCGGAAGAAUAAGGACCGGCUAACUACGUGCCAGCAGCCGCGGUAA
rnacentral:rRNA from 1 species